GAGCCUCUAUUAUCGCAGCUUGUCCGAAAAGCUGGAUUAAUCAUCGUUUUAAGAAAUGUCAGACUUUGACAUUUCUUCUUUUUGCUUCUCUGCUUUU